AACGAACGCUGGCGGCAUGCCUAACACAUGCAAGUCGAACGAGACCUUCGGGUCUAGUGGCGCCCGGGGUCGUAACGCGUGGGAACCUGCCCUUAGGGUCGGAAUAACUCCCCGAAAGGGGUGCUAAUACCGGAUAAUGUCUUCGGACCAAAGAUUUAUUGCCUUUGGAUGGACCCGCGUUGGAGUAGAUGGUUGGUAGGGUAAAAGACUCCUAAGGGGUCGAUGCAUAGCUUGUUUGAGAGAAAGGUCAGCCACUCUGGGACUGAGAAACGGCCCAGACUCUUCCGGGAGGCACGAGUGGGGAAUAUUGGAACGUGGGGGAAAGGCUGAUGGAGCAAUGCCGGGUGAGUGCUGAAGGCAUUAGGGUUGUAAAGCUCUUUUACCCGGGAUGAUAAUGACAGUACCGGGAGAAUAAGCUCCGGCUAACUCCGUG
rnacentral:rRNA from 1 species